rnacentral:rRNA from 1 species
CCCUACGGGACGCAGCAGUGGGGAAUAUUGCACAAUGGGGGAAACCCUGAUGCAGCGACGCCGCGUGAGUGAUGAAGUAUUUCGGUAUGUAAAGCUCUAUCAGCAGGGAAGAUAAUGACGGUACCUGACUAAGAAGCUCCGGCUAAAUACGUGCCAGCAGCCGCGGUAAUACGUAUGGAGCAAGCGUUAUCCGGAUUUACUGGGUGUAAAGGGAGCGUAGACGGCUAAUCAAGUCAGAAGUGAAAACCCAGGGCUCAACCUUGGGACUGCUUUUGAAACUGAGUAGCUAGAGUGCAGGAGAGGUA